AAAGCAAACCGCUCUAUCGCUGCCUUUCGGGGCGGAGGAAAGUCCGGGCAACACAGGGCAUCCUGCUUCCUAACGGGAAGGCGCCGCCAGUUGGCGACGGAAAGUGCCACAGAAAAUAUACCGCCGCGGUAUUAUGCCGGGGUAAGGUUGAAAACGCGAGGUAAGAGCUCACGGCCUUGUAUGGUAACAUGCAUUGCGGUAAACCCCAGGAGUUGAAAAACCAAAUAGGUUACAAAAGCGGAGCUGCCCGCUCCCUUCCGGUGCCCUGCACCGGUAUUUGUAAUGGGUAGGUUGUUAGAGCCUGACAGCAAUGCCCGGCCCAGAUAAAUGAUAGAGGUCCCGGUUUAACCGGGAAACAGAACCCGGCUUACAGGUUUGCUACUGGA
rnacentral:RNase_P_RNA from 2 species